GAUGAACGCUGACAGAAUGCUUAACACAUGCAAGUCGAAGGGGAAGUGGUGCUUGCACCAUGGUAACCAUGGCGGACGGUUGGGUCACGCGUAAGGAACUUACCUGCGUGACCGGGAUAACAGCAGGAAACUGCUGACAAGACCGGAUAAGGUCAUUAAGCUGCAUAGCUUAGUGAUGAAAGGAGACGCCUGCGGAGAGCCUUGCGUCCUAUUAGCUAGUUGGAGGGGUAACGGCCCACCAAGGCGAAGAUAGGUAGCCGGCCUGAGAGGGUGGAGGGCCACAAGGGGACUGAGAUACCGCCCUUACGACUACGGGAGGAAGCAGUGGUGAAUAUUGGAGAAUGGUGGCAAACCUGAUCCAGCAAUUCUGUGUGCACGAAGACGGUUUUCGGAUUGUAAAGUGCUUUCAGCAGGGAAGAAGGAAGUGACGGUACCUGCAGAAGAAGCGACGGCUAAAUACGUG
rnacentral:rRNA from 1 species